rnacentral:rRNA from 1 species
UACGAAGGGGGCUAGCGUUGCUCGGAAUGACUAGGCGUAAAGGGCGCGUAGGCGGUUUGGACAGUCAGAUGUGAAAUUCCUGGGCUCAACCUGGGGGCUGCAUUUGAUACGUUCGGACUAGAGUGGGGAAGAGGGUCGUGGAAUUCCCAGUGUAGAGGUGAAAUUCGUAGAUAUUGGGAAGAACACCGGUGGCGAAGGCGGCGACCUGGUCCUUGACUGACGCUGAGGCGCGAAAGCGUGGGGAGCAAACAGG